rnacentral:tRNA from 1 species
UCCCGGGUGGCUCAGAGGUUAAAGCGUCUGCCUGCAAUGCGGGAGACCUGGGUUCAAUCCCUGGGUCGGGAA